GAUGAACGCUGGCGGCGUGCCUAAUACAUGCAAGUCGAGCGAACAGACGAGGAGCUUGCUCCCCUGACGUUAGCGGCGGACGGGUGAGUAACACGUGGAUAACCUACCUAUAAGACUGGGAUAACUUCGGGAAACCGGAGCUAAUACCGGAUAAUAUAUUGAACCGCAUGGUUCAAUAGUGAAAGACGGUUUUGCUGUCACUUAUAGAUGGAUCCGCGCCGCAUUAGCUAGUUGGUAAGGUAACGGCUUACCAAGGCGACGAUGCGUAGCUGACCUGAGAGGGUGAUCGGCCACACUGGAACUGAGACACGGUCCAGACUCCUACGGGAGGCAGCAGUAGGGAAUCUUCCGCAAUGGGCGAAAGCCUGACGGAGCAACGCCGCGUGAGUGAUGAAGGUCUUCGGAUCGUAAAACUCUGUUAUUAGGGAAGAACAAAUGUGUAAGUAACUAUGCACGUCUUGACGGUACCUAAUCAGAAAGCCACGGCUAACUACGUG
rnacentral:rRNA from 1 species